AACGCGAAGAACCUUACCUACUCUUGACAUCCAGAGAACUUUCCAGAGAUGGNUUGGUGCCUUCGGGAACUCUGAGACAGGUGCUGCAUGGCUGUCGUCAGCUCGUGUUGUGAAAUGUUGGGUUAAGUCCCGCAACGAGCGCAACCCUUAUCCUUUGUUGCCAGCGGUUAGGCCGGGAACUCAAAGGAGACUGCCAGUGAUAAACUGGAGGAAGGUGGGGAUGACGUCAAGUCAUCAUGGCCCUUACGAGUAGGGCUACACACGUGCUACAAUGGCGCAUACAAAGAGAAGCGACCUCGCGAGAGCAAGCGGACCUCAUAAAGUGCGUCGUAGUCCGGAUUGGAGUCUGCAACUCGACUCCAUGAAGUCGCNAUCGGUANUAAUCCUCGGNGUUGUUCNCAAGGCUUUAGAA
rnacentral:rRNA from 1 species